GAUGAACGCUGGCGGCGUGCCUAAUACAUGCAAGUCGAGCGAACGGACGAGAAGCUUGCUUCUCUGAUGUUAGCGGCGGACGGGUGAGUAACACGUGGAUAACCUACCUAUAAGACUGGGAUAACUUCGGGAAACCGGAGCUAAUACCGGAUAAUAUUUUGAACCGCAUGGUUCAAAAGUAAAAGACGGUCUUGCUGUCACUUAUAGAUGGAUCCGCGCUGCAUUAGCUAGUUGGUAAGGUAACGGCUUACCAAGGCAACGAUGCAUAGCCGACCUGAGAGGGUGAUCGGCCACACUGGAACUGAGACACGGUCCAGACUCCUACGGGAGGCAGCAGUAGGGAAUCUGCCGCAAUGGGCGAAAGCCUGACGGAGCAACGCCGAGUGAGUGAUGAAGGUCUUCGGAUCGUAAAACUCUGUUAUUAGGGAAGAACAUAUGUGUAAGUAACUGUGCACAUCUUGACGGUACCUAAUCAGAAAGCCACGGCUAACUACGUG
rnacentral:rRNA from 1 species